rnacentral:lncRNA from 1 species
GGAAUCAAGAUGGCCGCCUGGGACCGCUCUCAGCCCCUUCGGCCUCUACCUGAAGAGCCACGCCCCGUCUGCUACACCCAACUGAUUGGUUCCUCAAUCACAGAGAGGAAAGGCAACAUGAGGAUGACGUCAGUUACAAAUAUGGCGUUUUGGACGGGCUCGAUAGUUUGCUUGGCCUCUACUCAAGGGAAUGCUGAUGGUAUAGCAAGAAGGUAUUCUGAGCAUUAUAUCAAUGGGGAAGUUCUAGAUCUUUUGCAAAGCAGGAGGAGUCAUCCUAGGGCAUCCAGAGGCCUUCAGGGUGGCCUGAAGUCUCCCACCGCACCACCUUUGGGUUAACCUAGCCUGUCCCACAGAAGAUGAUGAAGUUGGGUCUGGAGGCAAGCUGACUCAGAUGGAUUCUCGAUUUUAUGAUGCUGGACUGGGAGAUGGGUUUCACCAUGUUGCCCAAGCUAGUCUCGAACUCGUGGACUCAAGCAAUCCACCUGCCUCAGCCUCCCAAAGUGCCUUACAGGCGUGAGCCACCGCACCUGGCUGAACUGGUAAAUCUUUGAUAGCUAUCUGCAACUCUUGGUUACAAAUUUUAGCUUUGAAGUCAGAAGUCAAAGCAAGACUACACAGUCCUUGGAGAAGGUGUCAGUCACUACCCUCAAUUUGUAGCCUCAAAUAUCACAAACCCAGCAUGUCCAGACCUUCUCCCUUGCGUCUUACACUAACUUCUCCUGGCUUCAGCCAGAGAUGGGGGGAAAGGAUUUUCUGCUCUUCUAACUCAUGGUUUUGGAAUAAUUGAUUUCUUCCCCUUUAUGCUCAUUUCUUCCCUUUGUUGCCAGUCCCUUCACACUUACCUUCAGUCCUGGAGGGAGGACCUCUUGCUUGUGGAUCUGGAUGACAGUGAUACUCACAAGUACCACAAUACUCACAAGCAAGACCACCAAGGCAAUGAUGGUUGGAGUUCGGUAGAGGGCCUUGAGGCCUAAAAUGAGAAGACCCAGAAGACACUUGAGGGGGAGGUAAAAACCAGGCACUGGUAUUCUUUGUAGAAUUGAUGGACUGGCCCCAUAAUCAGGUGCAUAAACCACCUUCUCUGGUGUUAGCGAGACCCACACUUCUAAGAUGGAGUAGCAAAUAAGCUCCCCUUCUCCCCAGUUUUGGGGAAGCACAAACAAUACCUAUUUGCCCUUCCUCACAAAUUGUGUACUAAAACAGUGUUGCAGGGAGGGUAUGCAUGGUCUAGUUUUCUGAUAUUUUGGUUAUCCCUGAGAUGAAUUACAAUAACAUUUGUUUUACUUUUUUCUUUUUCUUUUCUUUUUUUUUUUUUUUGAGAUGGAGUCUCACUCUAUCGCCCAGGUUAGAGUGCUGUGCCGUGAUCUUGGCUCACUGCAGCUUCCAACUCCCAGGUUCAAGCGAUUCUUCUGCCUCUGCCUCCUGAAUAGCUGAGAUUACAGGUGCCUGCUACCACGGCAGCCAAUUUUUGUAUUUUUAAUAGAGACAGGGUUUCACCAUGUUGGCCAGGCUGGUCUCGAACUCCUGGGCUCAAGUGAUCUGCCUGUCUCGGUCUCCCAAAGUGCUGGGAUUACAGGUGUGAGCCACCACGCCCAGCUAACAUUAGUUUUAAUGGAGAUUCAAAAAAUCUAUUUUUAAAAAAUUAAACCAGGUGAUAGAAUAUUUCACUUAAAAAUAAUCUCAUAGAAUAUUUCAUUUAAAAAUAAUCUCAGUUAAAGAAAAAGAAAUUAGGCUGGGCAGAUGGCUGACCCCUGUAAUCCCAGCACUUUGGGAGGCCGAAGUGGGUGGAUCACUUGAGGUCAGGAGUUCAAGACCAGCCUGGCCAAUAUGGUGAAACCAUGUCUCUACCAAGAAAUACAAAAAUUAGCCAGGUGUGAUCAUAUGCGCCUGUAGUCCCAGCUACUCGGGAGACUGAGGUGGGAGAAUUGCUUGAAGCCAGGAGGUGGAGGUUGCAAUGAGUUGAGAUCAAACUACUACACACCAGCCUGGGUGACAGAAUAAGACCUUGUCUCAAUAAAAUAAAAUAAAAAUAAAAAAAUUAGU